AUACGGAGGAUCCGAGCGUUAUCCGGAUUUAUUGGGUUUAAAGGGUGCGUAGGUGGACAGGUCAGUCAGGGGUGAAAGUUUGCAGCUUAACUGUAAAAUUGCCUUUGAUACUGCUUGUCUUGAGUACAAAUGAGGUAGGCGGAAUGCGUUGUGUAGCGGUGAAAUGCUUAGAUAUGACACAGAACACCGAUUGCGAAGGCAUCUCACGAAUCCGGGACUGACGCUGAGGCACGAAAGCGUGGGGAUCAAACAGGAUUAGAUACCCUGGUAGUCCACGCAGUAAACGAUGAUAACUAACCGUCGGCGAUAGACAGUCGGUGGCCAAGCGAAAGCGAUAAGUUAUCCACCUGGGGAGUACGUUCGCAAGAAUGAAACUCAAAUGAAUUGGCGGGG
rnacentral:rRNA from 1 species